GUGUGAUUUUUAUUUAACAAAAGAAAGGGAAAGUCAAAUGCAAAACAAAAAAUAGAGAUCUUCCCUUAACUUUUCUCCUGCGCGCUAUGAUGCUAUCAAUUGUAAGAGAGUAAAUUCUUUACACCGUUGGUGUAAUCAUUUAUUUCCUCCAAAUCAAUUACAUUGUACCACGUUGCAAAACAGUGGUAUCAAUCAAUAAAACAUGGCGAUGUGACGCAAUAUAAUUGAUUUGGAGGAAACAGAUAUUUACACUAACGGUGUAAAGAAUUUAAUCUCCAAUUGUAAACAAUAAAAUCUCCAUCCAAAACAAAAAUUUGUGUACAUCACAAUAAGAACAACUGUUUCAGGAGGAACUUAACUUUUGUAGUUAACCCAAAAAAAAGGAAAAGAAAAAAUUAACUGCCUGUGCAGAAAAAUUCACACCUAAUUUAUAAGAUUCCACUACCGCAUGAUUUUGCAUGGAUAUCUGAUACAAAUCCUAUGUUUGUGUAAAUCGUGAAAAGUGGAGUACUCCUCCUAGCUGAUAACUAUGUAAGGUUUAAAGGACAUGAAAAACAAACCAAACCGUAACUAGUGCAGUUGUCAAGAAGAGAGCAAUCACCAAGCUGUGUCUACCCUCGUAAAGAACAAGGCUUUUUAUAACGUUCCUAAAGAAACGAGGCUUCUAUAAGGAAGCACAACGUUCUCAGAAGCAGUUCCAAUAAACACAGUUGAUGCACAAACCAGCAAAGUGGAGUGUCUUACGAUUGCUACUGAAGAGGGGCAUGCAUGGGUCUUGGCGAUCUGUUUCCACAAGAGAUGUUCAGAAUCAAGGCCACCUUUUUCUUCAGAAGGAGACCUCAAUGGCUGCAGAGCCGCCAGUGGAUACCUUGAUGAUCGGUUAGGAGGAAUUGAAGGCAUUUUAUAAAAGAAGAAGAGUCCAGACAGAGGGACAACAAAAUUUCUUGCAGAUCUCUCUCAAGCAAGGGAAGGGACUGCGAUAAUCAAGAAAGACACUGCGAGGUUAAAAAGAGAGAGUGUGACAAGAGAGAUGAAGCGAUUUCACGGACAAGAGAAGAUACUGAGAAGCUCCGGGCACGUGCUCAAGUGUUGGAGAGCGCGUUACUUGCGUCAUCGGAGGAAUUGAAGGCAUUGUCUGCAAAAAAAGUCAAGAUUGACAAGGAUCUUGCAAAGCUCAAAGAAGGGACUGCAGCGCUCCGGAAAUUGACUGCAGGUUUGAGUGAGGAAGCCUGAGCAGGGAAGAGCGAGAAG